ensembl:lncRNA
CUCCGUCUGACGGGCGCAGCGGGAGCGUCUGAGAGGAGGAUGAAGAUGAGGAGGGCGGAUGUGCCUUGUCUUACCUGGUUUUUGGUUGGAGAACGAGGGUGGAGGAUCUCUACUCCCCGGAGCGGCAGAGUCUCAGAGGGGCCCUGUGGCUUCCACCCACUUCCUCUCCCGCUGACCUACUUCCUGUAUUCUCCAGGCUCUCAAAAAGUUAAACGCUAAACUUCCUGCGCAUUGUUUGAGUGCUCGCAGUUGAUUGGAUGUAGUGACGACGCUCUUGUAAUGACAUGUAUUCAUUCAUCGCUCUGACGUGUUUAUACAAAGUCCCAUAUUGCUUACCAAAAGCAACACAGAGCCAAACAACCACUUUUAUUUAAAAAAGAUAAAUUGUGCUUGAAUUCAUUGGUGGCAGUGUGCUUACCUCUUCUCGCGGGCGUCCUUCCGCCUGUCUCAUUGCGGC